ensembl:snRNA U6 U6 spliceosomal RNA
UUGCUUCAGCAGCACAUAUAUUAAAAUUGGAAUGAUACAGAGAAGGUUAGCAUACCCCCUGCACAAAGAUGACAUGCAAAUUCAUGAAGCAUUUUACACACAC